rnacentral:lncRNA from 1 species
CUUAUGUGUGCGACUAUUCCUGGGGCACAUAUGAGUCUUUUAGGCAUCCUAUUUUGUUCUUAAAAUAUGGGUGUGACAAUCCAUGAGAACAAAUUUGAUUGGUCUCUACCCCCAGGCGGCUGUUGGCGCUUCUUAGCGAUAGUAGAGAAAUCCGCAAGCGCACGAAAGUACCGUUGUAGCACUUCACCCGGAAGUAUUCAGGGUAUCGUAUUUAUCCACAGGGAACGGCAAAACAUCACUUAGACUCUAAACUAAUCACCCUAGAAGAUAGUAGGGAGGAGAACACGACUGAG